ACUUAUGAUUGUUGGUACGUAUCUAAAGUGCGUUUUGAUCAAGAUAACCUUUUCAGUUGCCAGGCAGAUGGGCAGUCUGCUCUUAAGAAGAUUAAACUAUAUUCUAAUAUGGCCACAGAGAUGGUGCGCUCGUGGUUUUCCGGUAGGAUAAGGAACAAGUAUUGGAAAUGGGAAACCAUAGCCAGUCUCGUGGCUGGGUUCUCAACUUCUUUGAUCUCUAUAACCUUUUUUAGGUUCCUACAACUACUACUAUCUAAAACAUAUCGGUGUUUUAGAUCAUGGAUAUUGUGUUUUCUUUUGGCAUACUUAUCCUUUGUAGCUUGGUUAGCUGUUGAAUAUGGGAAGAGGCUUGGUCUAAUGGAUAUUUUCAGCAUCCAUAGAUAAUAGCAUUUUUUUUUUGGUGGAGAUAGAUCAUAGCACUUAAUUUUGACAAGUGCGAUGCCCUUUAAUUGUAACAUUAUAAUGGUAGAAGGUGACAUUCUUGUCCCAUGAAAAGUAACGGGCUGCUUCAUAUAGUUAUGUAUAGUACGAGUGAAAAUUAAAGAUGUAAUAGUUUGAUUUGGAUGAAAGGUCUUGUUCCGCCAUAGUAAUCGGAAAUAACAAAUCUAAGUUCAUG